AUGCAGUCGACGAUGAUCCGGUGCUUGCNUCGGGGAUUAGUGGCGAACGGGUGAGUAACACGUGAGUAACCUGCCCUUAACUCUGGGAUAAGCCUGGGAAACUGGGUCUAAUACCGGAUAUGACUCCUCAUCGCAUGGUGGGGGGUGGAAAGCUUUAUUGUGGUUUUGGAUGGACUCGCGGCCUAUCAGCUUGUUGGUGAGGUAAUGGCUCACCAAGGCGACGACGGGUAGCCGGCCUGANAGGGUGACCGGCCACACUGGGACUGAGACACGGCCCAGACUCCUACGGGAGGCAGCAGUGGGGAAUAUUGCACAAUGGGCGCAAGCCUGAUGCAGCGACGCCGCGUGAGGGAUGACGGCCUUCGGGUUGUAAACCUCUUUCAGUAGGGAAGAAGCGAAAGUGACGGUACCUGCAGAAGAAGCGCCGGCUAACUACGUGCCAGCAGCCGCGGUAAUACGUAGGGCGCAAGCGUUAUCCGGAAUUAUUGGGCGUAAAGAGCUCGUAGGCGGUUUGUCGCGUCUGCCGUGAAAGUCCGGGGCUCAACUCCGGAUCUGCGGUGGGUACGGGCANACUAAANUGAUGUAGGGGAGACUGGNAAUUCCUGGUGUANCGGUGAAAUGCNCAUAUAUCAGGAGGAACNNCCGAUGGA
rnacentral:rRNA from 1 species